GAGUUAACAUCUGAUUCCAGGACUGUGGUUAACGGGGGUCUAACCUCCACUAUGUAGACAGGAGUUAACAUCUGAUUCCAGGACUGUGGUUAACGGGGGUCUAACCUCCACUAUGUAGACAGGAGUUAACAUCUGAUUCCAGGACUGUGGUUAACGGGGGGUCCUAACCUCCACUAUGUAGAGACAGGAGUUAACAUCUCAUUCCAGGACUGUGGUUAACGGGGGUCCCUAACCUCCACUAUGUAGAGACAGGAGUUAACAUCUGAUUCCAGGACUGUGGUUAACGGGGGUCUAACCUCCACUAUGUAGAGACAGGAGUUAACAUCUGAUUCCAGGACUGUGGUUAACGGGGGGUCCCUAACCUCCACUAUGUAGAGACGGGAGUUAACAUCUGAUUCCAGGACUGUGGUUAACGGGGGUCCUAACCUCCACUAUGUAGAGACAGGAGUUAAGAUCUGAUUCCAGGACUGUGGUUAACGGGGGUCCUAACCUCCACUAUGUAGAGACAGGAGUUAACAUCUGAUUCCAGGACUGUGGUUAACGGGGGUCUAACCUCCACUAUGUAGACAGGAGAGUUAACAUCUGAUUCCAGGACUGUGGUUAACAGGGGGUCCCUAACCUCCACUAUGUAGAGACAGGAGUUAACAUCUGAUUCCAGGACUGUGGUUAACAGGGGGUCCCUAACCUCCACUAUGUAGAGACAGGAGUUAACAUCUGAUUCCAGGACUGUGGUUAACAGGGGGUCCCCUAACCUCCACUAUGUAGAGACAGGAGUUAACAUCUGAUUCCAGGACUGUGGUUAACGGGGGUCCUAACCUCCACUAUGUAGAGACAGGAGUUAACAUCUGAUUCCAGGACUGUGGUUAACGGGGGUCCCUAACCUCCACUAUGUAGAGACAGGAGUUAACAUCUGAUUCCAGGACUGUGGUUAACAGGGGGUCCCCUAACCUCCACUAUGUAGAGACAGGAGUUAACAUCUGAUUCCAGGACUGUGGUUAACGGGGGUCCUAACCUCCACUAUGUAGAGACAGGAGUUAACAUCUGAUUCCAGGACUGUGGUUAACAGGGGGUCCUAACCUCCACUAUGUAGAGACAGGAGUUAACAUCUGAUUCCAGGACUGUGGUUAACGGGGGGUCCUAACCUCCACUAUGUAGAGACAGGAGUUAACAUCUGAUUCCAGGACUGUGGUUAACGGGGGUCUAACCUCCACUAUGUAGAGACAGGAGUUAACAUCUGAUUCCAGGACUGUGGUUAACGGGGGAUAAAUGUUAGGUCUUUAAUGUCACUGUCGUAAUUAUCUUUUCUAUUGUUAUUACUACACUCUAAUCACUGUUCAUAUCAGCUGUCUGUCACUACACAGCCUGUCUGUCGUUGACCUGUCCUAGACUGUCUGUCUGGAACGGACCUGUCCUAGACUACACAACCUGUCUGUCUGUCUGUAACGGACCUGUCCUAGACUACACAACCUGUCUGUCUGUCUGUCUGGAACUGACCUGUCCUAGACUACACAACCUGUCUGUCUGUCUGUCUGGAACUGACCUGUCCUAGACUACACAACCUGUCUGUCUGUCUGUCUGUCUGUGACUGACCUGUCCUAGACUACACAACCUGUCUGUCUGUCUGUCUGUCUGUGACUGACCUGUCCUAGACUACACAACCUGUCUGUCUGUCUGUCUGUCUGUAACGGACCUGUCCUAGACUACACAACCUGUCUGUCUGUCUGUCUGUAACGGACCUGUCCUAGACUACACAACCUGUCUGUCUGUCUGUAACGGACCUGUCCUAGACUACACAACCUGUCUGUCUGUAACGGACCUGUCCUAGACUACACAACCUGUCUGUCUGUCUGGAACUGACCUGUCCUAGACUACACAACCUGUCUGUCUGUCUGGAACUGACCUGUCCUAGACUACACAACCUGUCUGUCUGUCUGUCUGUAACGGACCUGUCCUAGACUACACAACCUGUCUGUAACGGACCUGUCCUAGUCUACACAACCUGUCUGUCUGUAACGGACCUGUCCUAGACUACACAACCUGUCUGUCUGUCUGGAACUGACCUGUCCUAGACUACACAACCUGUCUGUCUGUCUGGAACUGACCUGUCCUAGACUACACAACCUGUCUGUCUGUCUGUAACUGACCUGUCCUAGACUACACAACCUGUCUGUCU
rnacentral:lncRNA from 1 species